AUGGCCGUUCAUCGUUAUCGGGGACACAUCCCCCUUUCUUGUAUGGCACGCUGGUUAUCCAGGGACACAUCCCCCUCUCCUCUAUGGCACGCUGGUUAUCCAGGGACACAUCCCCCUCUCCUCUAUGGCACGCUGGUUAUCCAGGGACACAUCCCCCUCUCCUCUAUGGCACGCUGGUUAUCCAGGGACACAUCCCCCUCUCCUCUAUGGCACGCUGGUUAUCCAGGGACACAUCCCCCUCUCCUCUAUGGCACGCUGGUUAUCCAGGGACACAUCCCCCUCUCCUCUAUGGCACGCUGGUUAUCCAGGGACACAUCCCCCUCUCCUCUAUGGCACGCUGGUUAUCCAGGGACACAUCCCCCUCUCCUCUAUGGCACGCUGGUUAUCCAGGGACACAUCCCCCUCUCCUCUAUGGCAUGCUGGUUAUCCAGGGACACAUCCCCCUCUCCUCUAUGGCACGCUGGUUAUCCAGGCACACAUCCCCCUCUCCUCUAUGGCAUGCUGGUUAUCCAGGGACACAUCCCCCUCUCCUCUAUGGCACGCUGGUUAUCCAGGGACACAUCCCCCUCUCCUCUAUGGCAUGCUGGUUAUCCAGGGACACAUCCCCCUCUCCUCUAUGGCACGCUGGUUAUCCAGGGACACAUCCCCCUCUCCUCUAUGGCACGCUGGUUAUCCAGGGACACAUCCCCCUCUCCUCUAUGGCACGCUGGUUAUCCAGGCACACAUCCCCCUCUCCUCUAUGGCACGCUGGUUAUCCAGGGACACAUCCCCCUCUCCUCUAUGGCACGCUGGUUAUCCAGGGACACAUCCCCCUCUCCUCUAUGGCACGCUGGUUAUCCAGGGACACAUCCCCCUCUCCUCUAUGGCACGCUGGUUAUCCAGGGACACAUCCCCCUCUCCUCUAUAGCAUGCUGUUUAUCCAGGGACACAUCCCCCUCUCCUCUAUGGCACGCUGGUCAUCCAGGGACACAUCCCCCUCUCCUCUAUGGCAUGCUGGUUCAUCGUUAUCGGGGACACAUCCCCCUCUCCUCUAUGGCACGCUGGUUAUCCAGGGACACAUCCCCCUCUCCUCUAUGGCACGCUGGUUAUCCAGGGACACAUCCCCUCUCCUCUAUGGCACGCUGGUUAUCCAGGGACACAUCCCCCUCUCCUCUAUGGCACGCUGGUUAUCCAGGGACACAUCCCCCUCUCCUCUAUAGCACGCUGGUUAUCCAGGGACACAUCCCCCUCUCCUCUAUGGCACGCUGGUUAUCUUAUGGGGACACAUCCCCCUCUCCUCUAUGGCACGCUGGUUCAUCGUUAUCGGGGACACAUCCCCCUCUCCUCUAUGGCAUGCUGGUUCAUCGUUAUCGGGGGCACAUCCCCCUCCCCUCCAUGCCUUGGUAUCCCCUGUGA
rnacentral:lncRNA from 8 species